rnacentral:lncRNA from 1 species
CUGCCUUCUAAGAGUUCAGUUGGAGCCAAUGUCUUUCUUUUGAACAUCUUGUGCCAGGAUUUGAAAUUAAGCUCCAGUUCAUCCGUACACCCCGCGGCCGCUUUCGCAAGGGGCCGAGGGGGUGGCGGCCUCGCCCGGGGACUCGCGGCGCUGGGAGCUGCCUGCCCUCGGUGCGGGCUGCAGACCGGGCCGCGAGGCGGGCCGGGCGCGGGCGCGCAACAGGACCAGCGGGCUCCAGGCCCGGGUGGGGCCGCGCCGCCGACCCCCGGGCGGGGCGCGGGCGCCAGGAGCCCGGGGUUCCGGGCCGCGAUCUGCUGCAGCUCGGCCGGGAGACGGCGCGACCCGGCGGCGGGGCCACCCGCGAGUCCAGCGUCGCCGCAGCCCCCCAAUGCGGCCGCGAGAAGCAGCGGGGGGGCAGGCGAUCGAAGGACUGUCAAACUAGGAGUGCAUCUCGGGGACACUCAGAAGCACUAGGUAACGCACCCCCUUCUCCCUUUUCCUGCCAUGGCAGAAGGUAGGGAGAGGUGAACUCCCCAAACCAGAGCCCUGCUCUAGGGUCUAAGCAGAAACAGGACCACCUUUGUGGUUAGGCUAACAGAAGUUGUCUCCCUGUCUCCCUCUCUGCCAGGAGCUGUCACAGAAGCACCACAUGGAACCCUGUUUGAUGACCCCGAGCAAUUAGAACUCAUUUGCAUGGCAUGGAAGGCCAAGGGGGGGCCCCCGAGGCUUUUUCAGCUCCCCCUUCUUCCGCGACUUCUCUGUAGACAGGUGCAUACUUCUGGCUAUGGCAAGGGCCAGCUGGCAGGAGGACUCUAACUUGUCAUCACAGAAAUAAAAUGUGUCACCUCUGUGUUCCCAACCUCUGUUCCUUCAUGUUUAACCAGCACUCUGCAUCUUUAUAAACAUGUCAGGGUUCUAUUUUUAUUUCCUAAUUAAUUCAGAAAAGGAGCAGAAGACAUUGCUAGUGAUAGGAAAGGGGACGAUCACAAAGGUAGGACUAAGGGUGGCUUUUAUUUUUCAGUUGAAUGAGGCAAUUGAAUGAAUAUGUGGCAUCCAGCAAUUAGAAAAAUUACUUAGGGCCAGCCAGUGCCUGGGCGAUUCUUGGGCUGCCCUGAAACUGGUCAGAAUUUAUU